rnacentral:lncRNA from 1 species
CCGUCGUGGCCCAUGGAUUGAGUGCACACGCAAUCCACUCCACCGUUUUGGGCCGGGCCGGGCCGGAUCGAGUCUAGUACUCAGCAGUUCAGUUGUUUCAAUAUUGAGCUGCAUUCGUACAGUUUUUGGUGUGGUUGUUUAGAUGGAAGUUUUUUGAGAAAGAUUGUUUAGAUGGAAGUUGAGGGCCCAAAUGAGGAGUUUGCGUAACUGAAAGACUGCAGUUGUUUUGGGAACAGCUGCGUCAGGGGGGUGAUGUGGAGUAAUAUUUUUUUUUAACUUAAACAUAAUUAUUAGUCUGUUAUAAAUGUUCGGAAAAUAACUCCUGCGGUCCACAUUCACUCACAGAGCACGCCCACAUGUAAAUAUGUAAUUCAACUAGAAAUAUGCUCUACUAGAACAAUAGCCAGCUAAUUAAGGCGGCGCUGCAUGUAUGUGCACAAACAAAUAAUUACUAGUCCACAAAUUAACGCCAUUAUUACAAGCGAUACGCACGCACCCCUCUUCACUUCCACAAUAAAGUGUAGGGGUAUGGAAAACAAAAAAACAAGAAGAAAAAGAACAUAGUACCACAACCGGAGACAUCAGUUUAGUGGUACGCGCAUUCUACGAACAUGUAAUUCAAUUCAACUCACAAGAUGCAUUUAUGUACAUAUGAGAGAUUAAACACUGCCUCGGUCGGAGAUCCAUGUACAUCCGGCCGUACGUGUGUUCGAUCUGAUGAGGUGGUAGGUUUAAUUAAUCCGCUACGACCGGUAGUACGGACUACCGCCGGAGCCGCGUGUGUAGGGAUUCCCCGGCAUAUCAGGUUGAAAAGGCGCCCUGUCCGCCUGCAAAGCUCCGUAAGAUAUCUGAGGGUCAGCUCCGGCGAGUAUUCGCCUCCCCAUCUCGGUGUCAUCCAUUAAUGCAACUCCCCACCCCACUUCAUAGCUGACAUGCUCCAUUACCAUCGACCCAUCUUUAGGCUUGUUCAGAUACGCCAGUACUGGAGCAUCAGUCGACAAAGCAGCAGCAGUACUAGAAGAAGAAUAUGAAGAGGAAAGCGCGAGAAAUAACACAAAGCAGUAAAGAAGCCCCUGCUCCUGCAUCUUCUGUUCUUUUUCACUCCUCUUACUUCGAGCACUCCGUAAACAUUAAUAUGUAGUAGAAAUAUAAUUGAAGAAGAGAGUACUGGCCGACACAGAGUAGGGACAGGGUACAACGUGACAGCUCGACAAAUGGGUUAUCUAUAACUAUACAUUAUUUCUCCCAUAAUUAUCGUAUGACAAUUUUUUUUCACUGUUGAGUGUGGGCUCAAUCAUGAAUCAGCUCAAAUCCUUUUUAUUCCUUUUUCUUCGGGUAUUAUUUUCAUUUAUCGACAUUCGGCAAGAUGAAUCACAUUCCUUAUCAUCGUUUUAUUUUAUCGUUGUUUUCUUUUUUUUAUCGACGUUUUUUAUUUUUUCUUUAAUUAUCUAUUCAUGGCAUCGCACGGAUUACUAUGUUAGUUAAACAUUAAUUAUCAUCUAUGUCAAUGUCCAACAUAUGCUUAUUUAC